CUACCGUCUUUGUUGAGUAGCGAACGGGUGAGUUAACGCGUGGGUAACCUGCCUUAUAGCGGGGGAUAACUAUUGGAAACGAUUAGCUAAUACCGCAUUAACAAUAGAGAUUGCAUAAUCUUUAUUUGAAAGUGCCAACUGGUACACUAUGAGAUGGACCCGCGUUGUAUUAGCUAGUUGGUAGUGUAAUGGACUACCAAGGCGAUGAUACAUAGCCGACCUGAGAGGGUGAUCGGCCACAUUGGGACUGAGACACGGCCCAAACUCCUACGGGAGGCAGCAGUUAGGGAAUCUUCGGCAAUGGACGAAAGUCUGACCGAGCAACGCCGCGUGAGUGAAGAAGGUUUUCGGAUCGUAAAACUCUGUUGUUAGAGAAGAAUGUUGAUUAGAGUGGAAAAUUAAUCAAGUGACGGUAUCUAACCAGAAAGGGACGGCUAACUACGUG
rnacentral:rRNA from 1 species